UUUUAUGGCAUUGUAUUAUUCUAGGCUUCCUGUAAAAUAUUCCUAUUCUGAUUGCUCAUAUUUUUUUGACUUAGCAAGUAAGGAGAUGGGGUUGGGGGAUGGGGAUGAAGGGGUCUUCCUGAGGGACUCUUGUUUCUGGCACCAAAUGCCAGUGCCUGCAGCUUGCCAAGUGUAACCUGCUCAUGAGACAGCAUCAGCUGAAGAAUCUGAUUGGGGCAGUACACAUGUCAAAAUGUAACUUGAGUGUCCUAAGGCAAGCUCAGGGAAGAUAGAAACCUCUCUUACAGUAUACCAUGGCUAAAUCUUGAUUUUCCAUAUGAAUACAGCCUGGGAAAGUAGGACCUCAUGAUCCUUUUAACUUUUAGGAUUUUAAUAGGAAGCCUUAGAAAAGGUACCACUGAGAUAAAUGACUUGUGGUGACCAAGCAUUAAUAGCGAUUUUGCUUUUUGAUCCUUCCAUGUCACCUCUUCCUGUCAUCUCAAAGCAGAAUUUACCAAUUGUGGAUUCCCCCAUCAUACACACACACACACACACACACACACACACACACACACACACACACACACAAAUAGAUUGGAAUCCAAGUUGCAUUUAGACUAUUGUAAGACAGCUU
rnacentral:ncRNA from 1 species